UGGGGAAUAUUGCACAAUGGGCGCAAGCCUGAUGCAGCAACGCCGCGUGAACGAUGAAGGUCUUCGGAUCGUAAAGUUCUGUUGCAGGGGAAGAUAAUGACGGUACCCUGUGGGGAAGCCCCGGGUAACUACGUGCCAGCAGCCGCGGUAAUACGUAGGGGGCUAGCGUUAUCCGGAUUUACUGGGCGUAAAGGGUGCGUAGGUGGUCUUUCAAGUCGGUGGUUAAAGGCUACGGCCCAACCGUAGUUAGCCUCCGAAACUGGAAGACUUGAGUGCAGGAGAGGAAAGCGGAAUUCCCAGUGUAGCGGUGAAAUGCGUAGAUAUUGGGAGAAACACCAGUAGCGAAGGCGGCUUUCUGGACUGCAACUGACACUGAGGCCCGAAAGCGUGGGUAGCAAACAGG
rnacentral:rRNA from 1 species